rnacentral:lncRNA from 1 species
UCAUUUGGUAGGCAGGAUAAGGUGGAAUAAAGUGUAGUAUUAAGUUUAUGCUAUGUUAGGUUGACGGUAUAAAUUUAUCCCCAAACGUAGUAUUAACUUAGUCCCAGAUUUAAUUCUAAAUAUUCCAUCUUAUCCCACCUUAUCUAAUCAAACUUGGUAUUAUUUAUCCCACAUCCCAGGUGGGAUAAAUUAGUCUAGGAAUUAUAAUUCAUGUGCUAUAAUCCUGGGAUAACUCAGUCCGCGUACCAAACGACCCCUAAAGAUCAUUGCGUAUAUAAUUAUCUAAGAAGACAUUUAGUACUCGGGACAAUUAACUUUCAAUUGUAGAAAAUUAUCAAAUGCUAGCCUGCUUAAAUGCUUUUUGCCCCUAAACAAGAAAUAAUUCUAACAUUUACCAGUACCUUAUUUGUGGUACAGAAUAAGUCAAUUCCCUCUUUCUUUGAUUGUCUUCUUUUAUUUCCUUUCUCUACUUUCAGAGGGUAAAAGAUGGUCGACAGAAGUUUCCAGCAGUGGUGGAAAAUCUUCAAAGAUUGUAAGCCCCUCCAAAGGAUGGAGUGACCAUAACCAUGCAAGAGAUAUACGAAGGAUUGCUUAAGGGUGUUCGUAACACGCAGCGGAAGACAAUAACAAUCCUAGGUAGAUUU